rfam:Hebeloma cylindrosporum h7 unplaced genomic scaffold scaffold_1, whole genome shotgun sequence.
GGGGGCAUAGCUCAGUUGGGAGAGCAGUAGACUGAAGCACCAACCUUGGCGUAUUCUAAAGGUCCCGCGUUCGAUCCGCGGUGCCCCCA